CUUAUCAAGAGAGGUGGAGGGAACAGGCCCUUUGAAACCCGGCAACCAGUACGUUGUUGUAUAUUGGUGCUAAGUCCUGCAGCGGAAGCUGAAAGAUGAGA
rnacentral:ncRNA from 1 species